UGAGAGUUUGAUCCUGGCUCAGGAUGAACGCUGGCGGCGUAGAUAAGGCAUGCAAGUCAAGCGGAUUAUUUUUUGAACGAGGCUGAGAUUACAUCAAGGCCGAGGGACGAAGAUGAUUAGCGGCGAACGAGUCAGUAAUACCUUGGUACGUACUCCGAAGACGGGCAUAACCAGCCGAAAGGUUGGCUAAUUCCCGAUAGUCCCGCAAGGGUAAAGGCGCAAGCCACUUUGGAAGCGGCCUAGGUCCGAUCAGCUUGUUGGUGAGGUAAUGGCUCACCAAGGCGACGACCGGUAGGGGGCCUGAGAGGGUGAUCCCCGACGACGAAACUGAGACACGGUUCGUACACCUACGGGUGGCAGCAGUCGAGAAUAUUCGACAAUGGAGGAAACUCUGAUCGAGUGACGCCGCGUGAAGGAAGAAGGGCUUCGGCCUGUAAACUUCUUUUCCUUGGGAAGAACUCUGACGGUACCAGGGGAAUAAGGGACUGCUAAAUUUGUGCCAGCAGCAGCGGUAAGACAAAUGUCCCGAGCGUUAUCCGGAAUAACUGGGCGUAAAGAGCGAGUAGGAGGAUUCGUUAGUCCUGCGUGAAAUCCAAGAGCUCAACUCUUGGGCGGGCGCGAGAAACGGCGAAUCUUGAGUCUGUCAGGGGCAAGCGGAACGUGCGGUGUAGGGGUGAAAUCCGUUGAUAUCGCACGGAACACCAAAAGCGAAGGCAGCUUGCUGGGACAGUACUGACUCUCAAUCGCGAAAGCGUGGGCAUAAAAAAGGAUUGAACAAAUUGUAGAUACCCUUGUAUUCCACGCCCUAAACGAUGCGCGCUAGCUAUGGCGGGAAUCGACCAUCGCUGUGGCGAAGCUAACGCGUUAAGCGCGCCGCCUGGGAAGUACGGCCGCAAGGCUGAAACUCAAAGGAAUAGGCGGGGACUAGCACAAGCGGUGGACCAUGUGGUUUAAUUCGAUAGUAAGCGAGGAACCUCACCAGGGUUUGACAUACUGGAGAAAGCCGAUCGAAAGAUUGGUUGUCCCGCAAGGACUCUAGUACAGGUGCUGCACGGUUGUCGUCAGCUCGUCACGUGAGUGGUACGGUUGAGUCCCGUAACGAGCGCAACCCUUGUUGUCUGUUACAAGUGUCAGACGAGACUGCCGAGGCAACUCGGAGGAAGGUAAGGACGACGUCAAAUCAGCGUGGCCUUUAUAUCCUGGGCUACACACGUGGUACAAUGGACGCUACAACGGGUUGCGAAGCCGCGAGGCGGAGCUAAUCCUAUCAAAAGCGUCCCCAAUUCGGAUUGGAGGCUGCAAUUUGCCUCCAUGAAGCCGGAAUCGCUAGUAAUCGCGGAUCAGAACGCCGCGGUGAAUACGUUCUCUGGUCCUGCACUCACCGCCCGUCAAGUCAAAGGAGAUGGGAGUACGUGAAGCCCAACCUCGUGUUGGGUUAGCGUAAACUCAUUGAUUAGGACUAAGUCGU
rnacentral:rRNA from 1 species